rnacentral:lncRNA from 1 species
GGGGUUUUUUCACAUUGCGCUAUUCAGUAUAAACCUGCUCUCAACAUUCAUGUGCAAGUCUUUGAGUGGACAUAUAUUUGCGUUUCUCUUGAGUGAAUGCACCUUGUUGGGUCACGUGGCUUAACUUAAAAAAAUUUUAAUCACUGUGGUGCAUAUGUAGUGAUUAUUAGUGAUUAUCUCAUAAUUUUAUUUUCUUGUUUAAUGAUGUUGAGUGUAUUUCAUUUGUAUUUUAGUUUGCAAAUGUUUGUUCAAAUUCUUCACCUGUUUUUAAUGAAGACGUACGACUUAUUUUUGUGUUCUGAACAUAAGUUCUUUGUCACAUAAAAUGUGCUAUGAAUGUUGAGUUUUAAAUACUCCAAAUGAAUGGCUAGAGAAUUACUAUUUGUAGAAAUAUUUAUAUGUCAAAGGGAUGCUAACAAUUUACUUUAUUGCUCUAAAAUAGAAAAGUUGCCAGAAUGCUGUGGAGUUUUAGUGGAAAACAUGAUAGCUGGUGUUACUGAGUAAAUUUGAGUGUUAAAUGUCAAUGUAAGCUAACGGCCAAGAUAGGGACCACUGCAGGGUGGUUACUUGCAGCUGUGACUCAACUGGUCCUUCACUGCCAAACAUACCUGGGGUUGGAUCAUUGGCCUGACGUUUGCAAAUUGAGGAACCUUAGGGCAAAUCAAUGAACUUCUGAACUGCCUUCGUCUUCAGUUAUAUGGGGAUUUCCCCACUUUUGAGGUACUUGUAAGGAUUAUAUGAGAUGAAGAGAUGAGACAAGGUAUAUAAAAGUCCUAGCACAGAGCGUGUCAUAUAAUAUGGCUUCACAAGUACCCUCAUCUCCUUUCCAGUCGUUUUUUGUUUUUGUUUUUGUUUUUUUGAGACCAUCUCACUCUGUUGCCCAGGCUGGAGUGCCUCUUCAUUUUUAUUUCUUUAUUCAGCAAGUAUUGAUCAAAUGUGCUUUGUACCAGGUACUGAGCUCUUCGUUGGGAUAUAAUGGUGAUCAAGGAGAUUGUAGAUUCUGGCAGGGAAAACUGACAUCAAACACGGCGACCCGACAUAGUGAGACCCUGUCUCUACUAGAAGAACUUUAAAAAUCACCUAGGUGUGAGCCACCGUACCCGGCCAUAGAGCAGCCUCUUCCUUUUCCUGUUGGGUCUCUGCUCAGAUGUCAUGUCAGAGAGGCAGACCUCUGGGGCGGUCUAUCUGAGGGAAUGCACCCAUCUCCCUUCCUCUGACCAGUUAGUUACCUUGCUUAUUCUUUCAAAGCUCUUACCACCACCUGAAGUCAUCUAUCUGGUUUGGUUAUUUUAUUGUUUAGUAGCAGUCUUUAUUUUAUUAUUAUUAUUAUUUUUUGAUGGAGUCUCACUCUGUUGCCCAGGCUGGAGUGCAGUAGCAUGAUCUCGGCUCACCAGAACCUCUGCCUCCCAGGUUCAAGCGAUUCUCCUGCCUUAGCUUCCUGAGUAGCUGGGACUACAGGCACGUGCCACCAUGCCCAGCUGAUUUUUGUACUUUUAGUAGAAACGGGGUUUCACUAUGUUGGCUGGUCUUGAACUCCUGACAUCAAGUGAUCCGCCCACCUCGGCCUCCCAAAGUACUGGGAUUACAGGCAUGAGCCACCACGCCAGGCUGGUAGCAGUCUUUCCUAGAAUGUGGAUGCCUUGGAAAACAGGGGCUCUGCCUUGUUUCCCUAGAACCUAGAAUGGCAUCUGGCACACAGCAGAUGCUACAUCUAUUGUAAAUGAAUGAAUGAAAGAAGUGUCCUUGCAGCCACACUGGCAGCCGUAACAUAGUGGUUAUAAAUCUAGACUCUGGAGUCUCAAGUGCAAAUGUCAUUGGCCUCUCCUCCAGCCUCCUCAAGGGGCACUCAAUGACUGGAAGCGCCCUGAUAUGACUGUGGUUGGACUGACAUGACUGCCAGAUGGUGGGACUUGGUCUGGAGCAGAGACUACUUGGAAUGGUAGAGGCAAAACUCAACAGCCCCUGGAGCUGCGCUUGUGGUGGAGCUGGACCCUGAUUUUAGCUGGACCUUGUUUUUAGAGACAGGGUUUCCUUCUGCAGUCUCAAUCUCCUAGCCUUGAUUGAUCCUCCUGCCUUGGCCUCCCAAAGUGCUGGGACUACAGGUGCAUGCAACCACACCUGGCUAAUUUUCUUCUCUUCUUUCUUUUUUUUUUUUUUUUUGAUGGAGUCUUGUUCUGUUGCCCAGGCUGGAGUGCAAUGGUGCCAUCUCGGCUCACUGCAACCUCUGCCUCCCGGGUUCAAUCCAUUCUCCUGCCUCAGCCUCCCAAGUAGCUGGGACUACAGGUGUGUGCCACCGUGCCUGGCUAAUUUUUGUAUUUUUAGUAGGGAUGAGACUUCACCAU